GAGUUUGAUCCUGGCUCAGGACGAACGCUGGCGGCGUGCUUAACACAUGCAAGUCGAACGGAGCUAUUUAUUUCGGUAGAUAGCUUAGUGGCAAACGGGUGAGUAGCGCGUAGGCAACCUGCCCUCAGGAUGGGGACAACGGCUCGAAAGAGCCGCUAAUACCGAAUGACGUAACUCUUCCACAUGGAAGAGAUACUAAAGAUGGGUCAAACCAUCGCCUAAGGAUGGGCCUGCGUCUGAUUAGCCAGUUGGUGAGGUAACGGCUCACCAAAGCGACGAUCAGUAGCCGGUCUGAGAGGAUGAACGGCCACAAUGGGACUGAGACACGGCCCAUACUCCUGCGGGAGGCAGCAGUGGGGAAUCUUCCGCAAUGGGCGAAAGCCUGACGGGGCAACGCCGCGUGAGUGAAGAAGGUCUUCGGAUCGUAAAGCUCUGUUGUCGGGGACGAAAGAGUAGACGAGGAAAUGCGUCUACUAAGACGGUACCUGACGAGGAAGCCACGGCUAACUACGUGCCAGCAGCCGCGGUAAUACGUAGGCGGCAAGCGUUGUCC
rnacentral:rRNA from 1 species